rnacentral:rRNA from 1 species
UACGAAGGGGGCUAGCGUUGCUCGAAGAUCACUGGGCGUAAAGGGUGCGUAGGCGGGUCUUAAGUCAGGGGUGAAAUCCUGGAGCUCAACUCCAGAACUGCCCUUGAUACUGGCGGUCUCGAGUCCGGGAGAGGUGAGUGGAACUGCGAGUGUAGAGGUGAAAUUCGUAGAUAUUCGCAAGAACACCAGUGGCGAAGGCGGCUCACUGGCCCGAUACUGACGCUGAGGCACGAAAGCGUGGGGAGCAAACAGG